GACGAACGCUGGCGGCGUGCCUAAUACAUGCAAGUCGUGCGGACCUUUUAUAAGCUUGCUUUUAAAAGGUUAGCGGCGGACGGGUGAGUAACACGUGGGCAACCUGCCUGUAAGACUGGGAUAACGCCGGGAAACCGGGGCUAAUACCAGAUCGUUUUUUCCUCCGCAUGGAGGAAAAAGGAAAGGCGGCUUCGGCUGCCACUUACAGAUGGGCCCGCGGCGCAUUAGCUAGUUGGCGGGGUAACGGCCCACCAAGGCAACGAUGCGUAGCCGACCUGAGAGGGUGAUCGGCCACAUUGGGACUGAGACACGGCCCAAACUCCUACGGGAGGCAGCAGUAGGGAAUCUUCCGCAAUGGACGAAAGUCUGACGGAGCAACGCCGCGUGAGUGAAGAAGGCCUUCGGGUCGUAAAACUCUGUUGCCGGGGAAGAACAAGUGCCGUUCGAACAGGGCGGCGCCUUGACGGUACCCGGCCAGAAAGCUACGGCUAACUACGUG
rnacentral:rRNA from 1 species